AGGACGAAGUGACUGAGACCACGCUUCCAGGAAAAGCCACUAAGCUUCAGCUGUAGAAAAACCGUACCGCAAACCGACACUGGUAGGCAGGGUGAGAAUCCCAAGGCGCUUGAGAGAACUCGGGUGAAGGAACUAGGCAAAAUGGCACCGUAACUUCGGGAGAAGGUGCGCCCUUUGGUGUGGUCACGUGCGUGACUGAGCAUCGAAGGGUCGCAGUAACCUGGCCGCUGCGACUGUUUAUCAAAAACACAGCACUCUGCAAACACGAAAGUGGACGUAUAGGGUGUGACGCCUGCCCGGUGCUGGAAGGUUAAUUGAUGGGGUCAGCCGCAAGGCGAAGCUCUUGAUCGAAGCCCCAGUAAACGGCGGCCGUAACAAUAACGGUCCUAAGGUAGCGAAAUUCCUUGUCGGGUAAGUUCCGACCUGCACGAAUGGCGUAACGACAGCGGCGCUGUCUCCACCCGAGACUCAGUGAAAUUGAAAUCGCUGUGAAGAUGCAGCGUUCCCGCGGCAAGACGGAAAGACCCCGUGAACCUUUACUAUAGCUUUACAUUGAACGUUGAGUUCUUCUGUGUAGGAUAGGUGGGAGGCUAUGAAACCGAGACGCUGGUUUCGGUGGAGCCAUCCUUGAAAUACCACCCUGAAGUGCUUGACGUUCUAACCUAGGUCCGUAAUCCGGAUCGGGGACCAUGUAUGGUGGGUAGUUUGACUGGGGCGGUCUCCUCCCAAAGAGUAACGGAGGAGCACGAAGGUACGCUCAGCGCGGUCGGACAUCGCGCACUGUGUGCAAAGGCAUAAGCGUGCUUGACUGCGAGAUCGACGGAUCAAGCAGGUACGAAAGUAGGUCUUAGUGAUCCGGUGGUUCUGUAUGGAAGGGCCAUCGCUCAACGGAUAAAAGGUACUCCGGGGAUAACAGGCUGAUACCGCCCAAGAGUUCAUAUCGACGGCGGUGUUUGGCACCUCGAUGUCGGCUCAUCACAUCCUGGGGCUGUAGCCGGUCCCAAGGGUAUGGCUGUUCGCCAUUUAAAGUGGUACGCGAGCUGGGUUCAGAACGUCGUGAGACAGUUCGGUCCCUAUCUGUCGUGGGCGUUGGAGAUUUGAGGGGGGCUGCUCCUAGUACGAGAGGACCGGAGUGGACGUUCCGCUGGUGUUCGGGUUGUCAUGCCCAUGGCAUUGCCCGGUAGCUACGAACGGAAGUGAUAACCGCUGAAAGCAUCUAAGCGGGAAGCACGCCCCAAGAUGAGAUCUCCCGAGAGCUAGACUCUCCUUAAGGCACCACCAAGACUAGGUGGUUGAUAGGCGCGGUGUGGAAGUGCAGCAAUGCAUUGAGCUUACGCGUACUAAUGAGCCGUGAGGCUUGACC
rnacentral:rRNA from 1 species